rnacentral:rRNA from 1 species
AUACGGAGGGUGCGAGCGUUAAUCGGAAUUACUGGGCGUAAAGCGUACGUAGGUGGUUUGUUAAGUCAGAUGUGAAAGCCCUGGGCUCAACCUGGGAAUGGCAUUUGAAACUGACGAGCUAGAAUAUGGUAGAGGGAAGUGGAAUUCCGGGUGUAGCGGUGAAAUGCGUAGAUAUCCGGAGGAACACCAGUGGCGAAGGCGGCUUCCUGGACCAAUAUUGACGCUGAGGUACGAAAGCGUGGGUAGCAAACAGGAUUAGAAACCCUAGUAGUCC